rnacentral:lncRNA from 1 species
CACAGAUGAUGUUUCAUUUCCACUGUCCCAGGUGAGCUCCAGGAUAAUAAAACUAGUCUAGUGCACAGUUAAAUAUCAAUGGACACCAGAUACUGUCCUUCACAGACGAGAGAAUCGUGAGAAAGCUCCCAGUGAUAAAGACUGGAAUAAUUACAGCACGGUAACACAGCGAGUGACAAUCCACCCACAUCCCAAACCUGAUGAUUCCCCAUGACUCACUCAAGAUCCACGAGAGCCUCCAAGUUCUCGAUCUUCCGAAUCUGAUUGUCAUAGAGAUCCAGCUCCCGCAAGGUCUGCAAUUGCUCCAGGUUCUCAAUGCGCUUCACCAAGUUCUGACGCAGACACAGAGUCUUCACUUUCUUGAGCACCUCAAACCCUUCAAUCUUUCCAAUUCGGAAAUGAUUCAGGUCAACAUCCUCAGCUUCUGGGUCCAGGCUAAUUGUUUCCAUGUCCACUGGUGUCUCUGCUUCUCCAUUCUGCUCAUCUCUCAGGCUCUGCUGGCUGAGGUCUGUUACUAAGCGCACCGCUUGCUUCUUCCCUUCAUCUUCCGACUCCUCCGAUUCGAUCCGCUUAUCGACCCUUGUUUCUACUUUGAUUUUGGAUGCACUUUUUCCUCCCAUCACAUCUUCCUAAAACCAACAAUCUGGGAAGAAGACCUCCAUCAUCUCCGUGCGCCCCUCUCCGCUCCCCGCCGCCAUAUUGCUUCUCCUCCCACCCCCC